GCUCCCGUAGCUCAAUGUCUAGAGCACCGCGCUUCGAACGCGGAGGCUGGAGGCGAAAGUCCUUCCGGGAGUGCCA
rnacentral:tRNA from 1 species